rnacentral:rRNA from 1 species
UGAGGAAUAUUGGGCAAUGCCCGCAAGGGUGACCCAGCAACGCCGCGUGGAGGAUGAAUGUCGUAAGAUUGUAAACUCCUGUUAGAGGGGAAGAAUAGUACCGGUUGGACCGGUAUAUGACUGUACCCUCAGAGAAAGCCCCGGCUAACUACGUGCCAGCAGCCGCGGUAAUACGUAGGGGGCAAGCGUUGUCCGGAUUUACUGGGUGUAAAGGGCGCGCAGGCGGGAUAAAAAGUCAGUGGUGAAAUCCUACAGCUUAACUGUAGAACUGCCUUUGAUACUUUUAUUCUUGAGUGCGGGAGAGAGAGACGGAAUUCCGGGUGUAGUGGUUAAAUACGUAGAUAUCUGGAAGAACACCAGUUGCGAAGGCGGUCUCUUGGUCCGACACUGACGCUGAGGCGCGAAAGCGUGGGGAGCAAACA